GAUGAAGAACGCAGCGAAAUGCGAUACUUGGUGUGAAUUGCAGAAUCCCGUGAACCAUCGAGUCUUUGAACGCAAGUUGCGCCCGAAGCCAUUAGGCCGAGGGCACGCCUGCCUGGGCGUCACACGUCGUUGCCCCCCCAUCUACUCCUUCGGGAUUGCGGGGGGCGGAUGAUGGCCUCUCGUGCGCCUCGUCGCGCGGUUGGCCUAAAUGCCAAGUCCUCGGCGACGCACGCCACGACAAUCGGUGGUUGCGAAACCUCGGUUGCCCGUCGUGUGCGGUCGUCGCGCAUCGAGGGCUCGAAAAAAUUGCCGGGCUCCGGCUCGGCUUUCAACGCGACCCCAGGUCAGGCGGGGUUACCCGCUGAAUUUAAGCAUAUCAAAGCGGAGGA
rnacentral:misc_RNA from 1 species